rnacentral:rRNA from 1 species
CCUACGGGCGGCAGCAGUAGGGAAUCUUCCACAAUGGGCGAAAGCCUGAUGCAGCAACGCCGCGUGGGUGAAGAAGGUCUUCGGAUCGUAAAACCCUUUUGUUAGAGAAGAAAGUGCGUGAGAGUAACUGUUCACGUUUCGACGGUAUCUAACCAGAAAGCCACGGCUAACUACGUGCCAGCAGCCGCGGUAAUACGUCGGUGGCAAGCGUUAUCCGGAUUUUUGGGGCGUAAAGGGAACGCAGGCGGUCUUUUAAGUCUGAUGUGAAAGCCUUCGGCUUAACCGGAGUAGUGCAUUGGAAACUGGGAGACUUGAGUGCAGAAGAGGAGAGUGGAACUCGAUGUGUAGCGGUGAAAUGCGUAGAUAUAUGGAAGAACACCAGUGGCGAAAGCGGCUCUCUGGUCUGUAACUGACGCUGAGGUUCGAAAGCGUGGGUAGCAAACAGGAUUAGAUACCCCGGUAGUC